AAAAAAAAAAAAAGAAUGUCCUUGACCGCAGACCCUUCCGAAAGACAGCUAGAAGCCGGGAUCAAACACAAUCGCCAACCUGAUUUUUCAGCACACAUUUUUUGGCAAUCUGUGUGUGUGUGUGUAUGAGAUGGAGAGAGGGUGGAGGACGAGGGAGCGUUGGUCUCAGGCUUUUCAGAAAGGAGGUGGAUCUGAGGAGUCCUUUUCUCUUCUAAUUAUUUCUGGAUGGCUGCUGCGUUCUCUCCCUCCUAUCUUACCGGCCUCGUGCAAAGUGUCUAUAAUCGAUAGCGGCUCAGGCUGAGAGCUCUUGGAAGGAGCCAGCAGAGCCACUUUAGCUGCCAGGCAGGAUGGAGUCUGAGGUAUUGGGCAGACACCCAGGCUGGGGAAGUGGGCAGCCUGCCGCACCCCACGGCUGCUCCCGCCCCAUCCCAUCGCAUGCUUGCUUGUUUUGCCCGGAUCUUGAAGACACAAAGGAAUGAACCAGCAGCAACUCCAGGGCCUCCAUGGACCUUGCCGUGCCCCUGCACGGUGUCUCAUUUAGUUUCCCAACAACCCUGAAGGGUGGAUUUUAUCCUCCUCCUCGUGAAAAGCAUGGGUGAGGCACUGUCCUGAGGACAGAGCUGGGGUUUGCCAUCUCCUGACUGCAGUGGCAGAGGUGGGAGCUCUGCCUGCAGGCAACACAGGGGAAGGCCACAGGGGCCCUGGGCUCCCAUGUGCUGAGUGCCACGUGUGGCUUGUGAAGUCUAACGUUGCACCUGCUACGCUUCCAAAGAUGAGGUUGUUGUGUGACAAGAUCUCACCCUUGUGGGUUGAGGCUGCAGCCCCCUAGUGCCUGCUGCUUACCCUGCUCCUUUUGGGGCAAAAGGGGUGGGAAUUACGUCAGUCAGUUUUAUAUCAUUUUCUCCAAAACCAGUUUUGUGACCCUGACCACUGUGACUUUAAAGAGGGAUUGGUGCCUGAGCCAACAAGAGCCUUCCACAGCAGCCUGGGGAACAGCCAUAACCAACCUGGCCAGACUGCGCUCAGAAGGCUGCAGAGAACCAAGCUUGGCUGCAAGAGCAGGCACCAGCUCCUACAGAGGGCUGCUGAGAUUUUUCAGUAAAAGCCUUGGCCGAAUGUGCCUGGUGUACUCUGAAAUAGCCAAACUAUAAUACGGGUCCUCUUUCUUCACAGCGAAACACAAUACUCGUAUCAGCCUAGUUAAUCAUGAGAAAUUAGCAAGCGAAUGAAGUCAGGACAGCAGAGAGACGAGCUCUGAGGCGGAAGAGAGGGAGACUGGAAGGAUCAGCAGACAGAGCUGCCCCCGUGCUUGCCCCUGGGGGACUUCCCCAACUCCACUCCGGUCAUGUCCUCAGACCUGGGACAUGCGACAGAGAGCCUCUCCGCCCUGCGUGUGCUGGGGGCCCAGUCAGGAGGGGCUCAGGUCUGCAGAGGCCGUCUCUCACCCAGCCCCUGUUUCGUUCGGCGUUGCGGGCUCAGGCCGCUGCCUCUGUCACAGACCUGCACACAGAACCCCAGCUGGCUUUGAGAGGACUCCAGGUGUCUCCGCCGUGUCUACACCUGGUUUGUGUUAUCUACCCAGAACGCAAGAUUAUUUAAUUAGGAAAAGUUCCCCAAAGUUCCUUGACGGCUAUUGCUUCCUGUAUCAUUUUAUUCCACGUUGACUAUUACCAUCAGCGUACGGCAAUAUAUGUAGCACGCUCUCUCACGCACUAGUAACAACCUGGAUUAUUCAUCUUUUAAACUUUGAUCGCCGAAGGGAAACAAAGCCUCUCCUUUCUCCCUCAUCACUUGGAUCCGUGGCGCAGCGGGACAGCGCUCCCCGCUCUGUGCGCCAUCUUUAUUUCCUCCUCUGGGAAUUAUUUGUUCCAAGCAGGAGGCUCAGCAGUGAGUGGGGGCUGAAUGGAGACCUGCAUUCCAGGCCUGGUGUCCUAGGUGACGAGGCCUCCAGCCAGAGCAUUUCUCCUUCCUCACAGCCCAGAUGCCCUUGAAGCCAAGGUCACGUCCCUGAAUCUUCUGCCCAUCCUCGUUCCUCACCACUGGCUCCUGCGGGUGGUGCAGCGCCCACCUCCUUCUGUGCUCCUGCCCUGAAGCCUGUGUCCCUCCACACAGACAAGGCUAGAGCAUCUUCAGUGAAUCUAUCGCAGGCAACGUGACUGUUUCCUGAUGCCUAUGGUGUGGUCAAAUCCCUCCUUCCACCCCGGGCCUCUGGACUGGAAGGCUGUGGUCAUGCUGGUUCUUGCAGCCCUGAUCUCCCCUUGGGCUCCUGGUGCCACGUCGUGCCUGUCCAAGCCACUCAGCUUCAGGAGGAAGAGGUGUUUGCCCUGCUGGUUCCCUGCAAGAAUAUUCAGAGGCACUCUGCAGCCCACAGGGUAAGACCCAAACUCCAACAUGAUGCGUGAGCCCUUGAUGCCAGGUGCCGGAGCACCUUUGCUGCCUGUGUCUACUGAGCCUCUGCCCCUGCACCCAGCCACCUUCACACACACACUCCUGCUGUGCAGCACCUGCCUCUGGAAUUGAUGGAGGAGCCCUCCAGUGUGGAUCCUUGUGUGUGCGGGCUCAGGGAAGUCCAAGCUCAAGGCACCCUUGCUGAAUGACUCGCUCUCACCUUCCUCAGACCAAAAUCUACCUGAGUCUGAGUUCUCCAGAGAAACUGAGAGAGAGAGAGAGAGAGAGAGAGAGAGAGAUUGAUUUCAGGGAGUUAUUUCACUCCCUCGUGGGGCUGGGAGAUCUGAAGUCUGAAGACCAGCAGGCUGGAAACUCAGCUCUGCCCCCGUCUUUACCACUAAAUCUGCAGCGUCUAUUGCUGGCCAUACUCUCCCCACUCCAGACGCCUUUCGGCCUGCAUUGAGGAGAGAGGCACUGGCCCUGACUGGGGGCUUCCACGUGUGCAGGGGCCGCCCGCGGUGAGGUCUCCGCAGCAUGACGGGGCUGGAAGCCGGCAGCUUUGUUGUGGUUAUCUAUACAUCUUGUGUUUGGCAGCAGCCAGGCCUUUUCCCGAGCAGUCAAGCCCACAGCCUCCCCACCUCCCACGGCUGCUGGUGCCCAAGUUUGGGAGCCUCUCCAGGUUCUUCAGAGAGUAGAGCUUGAUUUCCAACAGCCCCCGUUUCCCCAGGUGCUUGGACUUCAGCCUUCAGCUCCACGCACCAUCUUUCAGAACUACGUUGGCAACUUUACCUGAUUUUUUUUUGUUUUUGUUUUUGUGUAUUUACAACAUUUUAUUCCUUUAGUUUUCAUUUUAGAGAGGAUUAGGAGAGAGAAGGAAUGAAACUGUGUGAGGCCCACCGUGUUUAACCAGAAGUCCCUGUUAUCUGCUUAAUGACACCUUUCUAGAAGAGGAAUUGCUGGGUCAAAAGCCGUGCGUAUUUCACGCGGCGAGUCACGUUAAACUGUCCACCGGAAAAGUGCACUGACUUUUUACCGGGAAGUAAGCCGGAAGAUUGCUUUUAUUUUAUAAAUGCUAUUUUUCUUUUGUAUGAUAAAAGAGACUUAUUUUUGAGGCAAAACAUGAUGACACCGGCAUAUUUUAAUUGGUAUACUUCAUCAUAGAGCAUCAGAAAAAUAAAAUCAGUGUGACGAGGCAGCAGCCCCAGAAGGCGGUCACUCACUGCAGCCAUUGCCGGCCUGUGCUUUGUGAGCUGGACGGUCCUCUGGCCUCGUUCCAGCCUCAGUCUGCCUAAAAGUGGAUAUUCCAGGCGGGAAAUGUGUCUAGCCUGACGGUGAAGACUGUCUGGAGGAUGGUUGGUUUUGAGGAGGGCAAUGAUUUUGCAGGAAGGUUUCACAAAAGCAGAAACAUGGUCAAAAUUUGUCCAAGGUGGAUUUCUGUUGUUGCUAAAUUUUCCUGGUGUGCCGGGCAGGACAAUGGUGGGACAGCGAACCUGGAAUAAGAAGAGACACUCAGACUUCCCAAAGUAGAUGAGAGAAACUUUGCUUUUUGCAAGGGAGGGGAAUGGAAGGCCCUGUUGCAAUUGUCUUGCUUCAGUUUUGUUCAGUGAGUGAAGCCAAGUUCGCCCAGGGCCAGCUGUGCUCGUGCAGACGUGUGUGCUGGGGUGGGGGUCGCCAUUACUAAUGGCGUAAGGCUGGUGGGGUACAGGCAGGAGCAAGUUAGAAAUGGAAACUCCGUGUCUUCCUUCUGGCAGCCGAUGGCACUGGCUUGCCAAGAAGGUGUGGGUGUCUGGAAAGCACCCAUGAGGACCAGUAGUCAGGGAGCCAGCAGGAGUGACGGCGAAGAGAGACUGUUGCUCAGGGUCUCCUGGGAUAGACUGAGUUGGGAACUAACUAGGUGGUCCCCGUUGCCAUGGAGACAACCUUCCCUGAAAGCGGUGGGGAAUGGCGGACAGUCCACAAGGGAGAUGCUGACUCAGGCUUCAGAUGGAAUUUCCUGGGAUCCCUCACUUCCAUUUUCCGCUCUUUUCUGAGUUCCGCUGUUUUCCCUAUUUCUCCUUUGUUUUCUGUUGCGUAUUCUCUCCUUCUGGGGAGAAAGUGUGGGAAGCCAGUGAAGAGGUCCUGCUCUGGGGAUGAGAAGCCAGGUUGAAGGAAGACUCGAGCACAGUGGACCUGGCAGGUGGGGUCUCCAGAGAGCCUGUGGCUGUGCAGAGCAGCCACCCCAGGGAUUCGUGCAGAAUUGAGUCUGAACACAUGGUCUUUCUGGUGCAUCUGGCUAGAUUGGGACUGUAUUGGUCUAUCUCCCUCAGCAGCCCUGGUCCAAGGAGCACGAUCAGAGAGAUAUAAGCCAGUCACUCCAAGUUGUCAUCUUUCUCUUCACCGUGCCUGGGAGAGGAAGGUAAUUGUUUUGCUUUGUUAGAAAAGAAAUACAAACCCAGCAGCCGAGAGAUUUCCCCAAUGGAUAGGCCUGUGUUUGGGAAGGAAGGUUAAAGCCAGUGGAUUUCUAGUUCACUUGUUUUCUCUAAUGAUACAUCAGAAGGGCCGCAGGGUCCAGUUAAUCCGUCCAGUGGCAUUUUUGAGAUGAGGUAGCAGGUGCUCCAGAACCAGAAAGACAGACUGUGGGUGGCCCCUCCGGAGGCUCACUGAGGGUUCUAUGCCACAGAUCUGUGUCCAGCAAGCAAAGGAGCUGGGGUCAGAGCUGGUGAAACACAGGACCAUUCCCUAUUCAGCCUGGCAGAUAUUUGCUGAGACCUAUAACAGAAAAGGUAUUUUACUGAGGUGUAUGAGGUGGGUCCCUUGGCAACUGCUGUGAUGCCUCCAUACUCCCAUCUGGGUCAGAGACUGAAAAGAACUCAAAGAUCGCCGAGAGCAGCAUUCUGGGCUGCCGUCCCAGCAAUUCAUCUACAGAGGUUUGCGGGGUGCCCACUCUGUGACAGA